UACGUAGGAGGCGAGCGUUGUCCGGAGUUACUGGGCGUAAAGGGUGCGCAGGUGGCCGUGCGCGUGGGGAGUGAAAUCGCCUGGCUUAACUGGGCGGGGGCUUUCCAGACGGCGCGGCUUGAGCCACAGAGGGGGGCGUGGAAUUCCGGGUGGAGCGGUGAAAUGCGUAGAUAUCGUUUGGAACGCCAAUGGUGAAAACAGGUAACUGGGGCUGUGCCGACGCUGAGACACGAAAGCCAGGGGAGCGAACGGG
rnacentral:rRNA from 1 species